rnacentral:rRNA from 1 species
UACAGAGGGUGCGAGCGUUAAUCGGAAUUACUGGGCGUAAAGCGUGCGUAGGCGGAUAUUUAAGUCAGAUGUGAAAGCCCUGGGCUCAACCUAGGAAUUGCAUCUGAUACUGGAUGUCUAGAGUAUGGUAGAGGAUAGCGGAAUUUCCGGUGUAGCGGUGAAAUGCGUAGAUAUCGGAAGGAACACCAGUGGCGAAGGCGGCUAUCUGGGCCAAUACUGACGCUGAGGCACGAAAGCGUGGGGAGCGAACAGG